GACGAACGCUGGCGGCGUGCUUAACACAUGCAAGUCGAAUGGAAAGGCCCUGCUUUUGUGGGGUGCUCGAGUGGCGAACGGGUGAGUAACACGUGAGUAACCUGCCCUUGACUUUGGGAUAACUUCAGGAAACUGGGGCUAAUACCGGAUAGGAGCUCCUGCUGCAUGGUGGGGGUUGGAAAGUUUCGGCGGUUGGGGAUGGACUCGCGGCUUACCAGCUUGUUGGUGGGGUAGUGGCUUACCAAGGCUUUGACGGGUAGCCGGCCUGAGAGGGUGACCGGCCACAUUGGGACUGAGAUACGGCCCAGACUCCUACGGGAGGCAGCAGUGGGGAAUAUUGCACAAUGGGUGGAAGCCUGAUGCAGCAACGCCGCGUGCGGGAUGACGGCCUUCGGGUUGUAAACCGCUUUCGCCUGUGACGAAGCGUGAGUGACGGUAAUGGGUAAAGAAGCACCGGCUAACUACGUG
rnacentral:rRNA from 1 species